GACGAACGCUGGCGGCGUGCUUAACACAUGCAAGUCGAACGAAGUGGCGAACUGGUGAGUAACGCGUAAUCAACCUGCCCUUCAGAGGGGGACAACAGUUGGAAACGACUGCUAAUACCGCAUACUGAAGGAGGGGAUUGCGUCUGAUUAGGUAGUUGGGGGGGAAACGGCCAACCAAGGGGAUGAUCAGUAGCCGGUCUUGGGGGGUGAACGGCCAAAUGGGGACUGAGAAACGGCCCAGAGUCCUACGGGCGGCAGCAGUGGGGAAUCUUCCGCAAUGGACGAAAGUCUGACGGAGCAACGCCGCGUGAGUGAUGACGGCCUUCGGGUUGUAAAGCUCUGUUAAUCGGGACGCGGUACCGGAAUAGAAAGCCACGGCUAACUACGUGCCAGCAGCCGCGGUAAUAC
rnacentral:rRNA from 1 species